UAAAGCCCAAUAAAAAUAAAGAUAAGGCCAAAAAUAAAGAAAUCUAAAAUUUGUGAAACUUUGGUUCAUUGUUCUCAAAGCAGGUAAGAAUGACUAAACCCUAAUCUUUCAUCCACUCAUCUGAAGGCUCACAUUUGUUUAGAAAUUUGUCAUCUCCUUGAUCAGAUUCCAACGAUAUUAGGAGCUAAUUUGGUGCAUAAAAGCAAGAAGGAUCGAGUGCAUAAAAGCAAGAAGGAUCCUACAGUUGUUUGUGAAAAGUCCAACGAAUCAAAGUACAACGAGAUUUAUAUUUUUUGCUUGGGUGAAUGCUACCACAAUUUCAUGCAAACAUCAAGUGUUAAGUCUCAUUGGUAAUCAUGAAGAUCAACUUGUCAGUCUACAAUACUUCAAGCACCUAGAUGAGUUAGCUGAAGUGAAAACUUAAGAGCUGCAUUUGAAUUGGGUGUAAGAACUUGUUCAUCUCUUUCUGAAAAUUAGUUGGGCUGCUUUUGAUUCAACUGAAUCAUCAAGCUGGUUUUGGAGACUUGAGUUUACAAGUCAAGAUAUAGGUUUUGAAGACUUCAUGCAAGUUGACAAGUUAGUUAUCAUUUUAUAAAGACUGCUAGACAAUUUUGUAUUUUUUUUCCUAAGGAUUUUAGCUAAGAGGUUGUGUAAACAGUAUACUGAUUUGUAUCAUAGCCGUACAAUGACAUUAAUGAGAUGUUAAUCCAUAUUUUGAAAGUAAUUAUAUGUAUAAAAAUGAUAUUAUUGAGUAUUUUGUUGAAAUCCAAUUGAUUUCCUGUA